AGACAUCAUAACUCAAAACACCCAGUCUACAAACCCGAAACACCCAACAUACAAACCCCACGCCAAAUAACACUUCUAAAAGUUAGUAGACAUCUUCGAAAAAGACACACGACAUCUAAAGCUUAGUUCUAAUUUGCUCAAUCACUUCAACGAUCUCACCCAUAUCAUUUUUCAGCUCAACAUUGUCCUUCUUUAUCUGUGCCAGAUCGUUGAUAAUCGUGGUUUGUUUGCUUGCCAACACAUCAAAUUCUUCAAGAUGUGCUUCGUCGAGCCACUUAAAGACGUGAUUUGGACCCGAAAUUGCUCCAUAUUGAUAAAAUUUUCUCCCCGGA
rnacentral:lncRNA from 1 species